GCGGGGAUGCUGGAAUUGGCAGACAGGCAAGACUAAGGAUCUUGUGGGAAUUUCUCGUGUGGGUUCAAGUCCCAUUCCCCGCA
rnacentral:tRNA from 1 species